AGAACGAACGCUGGCGGCAUGCCUAACACAUGCAAGUCGAACGCUCUUGGGGCUUCGGUCUCGGGGGAGUGGCGCACGGGUGAGUAGCGCGUGGGAACCUGCCUUGUUGUGGGGGAUAACCGAGGGAAACUUCGGCUAAUACCGCAUAAGCCGGUUGUCUUGAAGGAGAUGGCCGGGAAAGAUUUAUCGCGACAGGAGGGGCCCGCGUCGGAUUAGCUAGUUGGUGGGUAACGGCCCACCAAGGCGGUGAUCCGUAGCUGGUCUGAGAGGAUGAUCAGCCACACUGGGACUGAGACACGGCCCAGACUCCUACGGGAGGCAGCAGUGGGGAAUAUUGGACAAUGGGCGCAAGCCUGAUCCAGCAAUGCCGCGUGAGUGAUGAAGGCCUUAGGGUUGUAAAGCUCUUUCGCCCGCGACGAUGAUGACGGUAGCGGGAGAAGAGCCCGGCUAACUCGUGCCAGCAGCCGC
rnacentral:rRNA from 1 species